rnacentral:rRNA from 1 species
CCUACGGGAGGCAGCAGUGGGGAAUAUUGGGCAAUGGGCGCAAGCCUGACCCAGCAAUGCCGUGUGAAGGAAGAAGGCUUUCGGGUUGUAAACUUCUUUGACAGGGGAAGAGCAGAAGACGGUACCCUGAAAACAAGCCACGGCUAACUACGUGCCAGCAGCCGCGGUCAUACGUAGGUGGCAAGCGUUGUCCGGAUUUACUGGGUGUAAAGGGCGUGUAGCCGGGAAGGCAAGUCAGAUGUGAAAGCUGGAGGCUCAACCGUCAAAUUGCAUUUGACACUGUUUUUCUUGAGUACUGGAGAGGCAGACGGAAUUCCUGGUGUAGCGGUGAAAUGCGUAGAUAUAAGGAGGAACACCAGUGGCGAAGGCGGUCUGCUGGACAGCAACUGACGGUGAGGCGCGAAAGCGUGGGGAGCAAACAGGAUUAGAUACCCCAGUAGUC